CCGGUGUUCGUUCUCUUCGGCUCCUCCAUUGUCCAGUUCAGCUUCAGCAAUGGCGGAUGGGGGGCCGCUCUCGCCGAUAUCUACGCUCGCAAGGCUGAUAUCUUUUUGCGUGGGUAUUCUUCUUGGAACUCAAGGCGUGGUCUAGCCGUAAUUGACCAAGUGUUCCCGAAGGAUGCACCGGUGCAACCUUCAUUAGUGAUAGUCUAUUUUGG
rnacentral:misc_RNA from 1 species